AGGGCGGGCGGAGCGCGGCGGGUGGGCGAGCCGGAGCGGGUGCCCCGCGCUGCGACCGCGGGUGCCCAAAGCUGUCCUGUGCUUCCCCUGACACCUCUGCCUACCCUGGCCGUCCGCCGCGCCUCCUCUCCCGGCUUCUGCCGCGUUCCCUUACAGUCUUCCACACUCCUCUUCCACACUCCCCUCCCACUCUCUCCUCCUCCCUCCUCCGCACCGCUCCACUCCCCCCGGGCUGUCUCCUUCCCCUAGUGCUCUCCCCUCCCUCCAGAGCCGCGAUUUGAAUCUGGUGCUCUCCCGCUUCCUCUCUUACCCCCCCGCCCGCGCAUGCGGCGCUGCCGCCGGGGCGCGCCAGGACCCGGCCCGCGGCCCGGCCAGGGGCGGGCGGUCCCCGCGGCCCGGGAGGGCGGCGGAGGGGUCCGGCCAUCGCCAGGCCCCGAGGGGCCGCCUGGGGGAAGGGGAGCAAGGCCGGGACUUCCGUUCUUCCCGCCCUGCUUGCCAGGAGCCGGUGUGGGGCCGAGAGGGCAGCCCGGCCCCGGCCUCUUCCCCCUGAGUGCGGUUCAGCGGAAUUCCUCGUUUUCGACGCCGGGAGGCUGUGAAACGAAGUCUGUGGCUUUCCUGGAUCCGUGGAAGCAUGGGGGGAAGCUGAGCAGGAGCUUCGAGGACAAAAUAAUGUCGGUCCGCAGAUUUCACCCCUUCCCUGGGGCAUCUGUAAUGCCUCACACGUGGGCAUUACAGAUGUCCGUUUCUUUGUUGCCUUUGGUACCAUCAAUAAAUAUCGCUAUGUCCCUGUCUGUGUAUUUGGGAGGGAGGGGGAAACACUGGAUAGUGAUUUUCCAUAAGAUGCUCAAAACAUCUUCCAGGCUGAAGCUCCCUUGAAGCUUACCCUCUUUGUGAAGCCUUCCCCAGGAGCCGCUUACAGCCACGCACAAGCCCUUGCCCCUCCGUGUUCGAAUGGGGCUGGAAAUGGGGUUAAAUGGGUCAGGGAGCCAUACAGUGAUGAUGCGUUAUGCACGCUGGCAGAGUGCUCCUGGUAUGGAGAGGGUUCAUCUUACAAACAUUAUUUUUGUAAGGGUAACUUGUUUUCUUUCUCCUUCAGCCCCAACAACAGGAAGUAAACACUCAAAAACUGGAGUAGUUCAUAUCAAUUGCAUCAACAGUAAGAGAUUUGGGGUGUAUGUUACUCAGUUGGAGUACACAGACCAAAAGGCUGAGAUAAGCCCGUGCAGACAUAGUUGAAAUGGGAAGAGGGGGAAUGGAGGAGAAUAGGAAAGACAAAGGAGAGAGGUAGAAAAUAUGCAAGAGUGUAUGAGAAAACAAAAAGGAGAGCACAUAUACGGCAGAGGAACAUGCAUUGCUUAGAAGAUAUACAGAGAUAGGUAUAUAAAACUAAAUCAGGCCCAAUGGAUGCUCCUGUGAUAUUGCCCCCAGGAAAUCACAUGGUCCUUAAGCAGUCCUUCCUACUAAUGUAUAUGGUAAUCAAUAAAAAUACAUCUGCAAGAGGUUCCUAGCA
rnacentral:lncRNA from 1 species